rnacentral:lncRNA from 1 species
CUGCUGGGGACAAGAGGAGAGGACCUCUAUCAAAGAAAGGAUAUGACUGCUUCUUGGGGUUGACAGGAUUAUGAUAACAUGUGACAGUGAAAAAGCUUUAAUAAUCAAGACUUCUCUGUUCUCUCUUCCAAGGAGAAUGAUCUCUGAACUGGGAAAUAAAAUGAACUGGACAAAACAAAAAAUGGAUAGCAGCUCCAGUACUGUAAGGUUCUAAGCAACUAUGGGGCAGAGUCAGCAUCCGGAGCACCAGCAGAGAACAUCUUACUUCACUUUGUCCCAACGUGCCAGUUAUGGAAGUUUGUGUAAAGGAGCGGUUACGCUCUUCACUUUCUAACAGAAGCAACUAUCCCCCUUUGACACACUAUUCAGGUACCCUGUCUACCUUAACUGCACUAACCCUGAAACAAAUCAUUCAAGAAUAAGGAAUGCCAAGGAAAUGAGCAGGACCUUUUGGCAGGCCAGUUCGGCCCAGCCAAGCAUUUUUGGUUGAUAAGUGACCACCAGUGCAAGUGAAGACUUCACAGAAGUAUUUGGAGAGGGGAGAGAAGAAUCAUAAAUUAAAUUCAAGAUUUAAAUGAAAAGAAAGAAUUUGAGCAAACCAGUGAAAUAUUGCAUUAAAGUAAAGGAAAUCUCAAAAUAAUUGCUUAUUUUUCUCUAAACAGAGUGAUACUGUGAUCAAUAUUAAAUAUUUGAUUAAUGUAUUCAGAUGAUUUAAAACAAACAGCUUCACAUGAGUGUAUAGGCAUUAUAUGUACUAUAUAUUGUCAUGUUAUAUAAUAUAUAAUAAAUAUAUGUUAUGUAUGAUCUUGUGCA